ensembl:lncRNA
CGGAACAUGCCACCUGCCACUUUUCGACCACACCUCUACUGCACAAAGUCCCCAAUCAAAUAUAUUUUCCCCCCCAAUUUUUUUUUAGCUAACUGUUAAAACCGGUGUGUAUGUUCGAGUGUUUUAUUUCUGAAAUAUUUUAUUUUUAUUUGACAUAGCUCAUGUUAAAAUUAGUGCAACGUGACGGUCGAGAAACGUGAUCUGCGGCUGCUGAUGGAAGUAACGUUGAAUUGGGUCGCGAGGCCGAGUACACCAGAUAAGAGUUACUUUAAACUCCCAUAAACGCCUCAGAGCUACAUUAAACGAGGCGGUGUCUCCGUGGUUGUUGAUGUGACGUCGUUAGGUGACGUUACAGACAUAAUACGGUUAGUCUUUCUAGCCAAACAGCCGAGGAAGGUGCUAACACGACGGCUAGCGAGGUGACUUGUGCUAAUGAAGCUAACGAGCGGCGCUACGUCAAUAUGGCAGCCGGGAUGUUUGGCUAUGGAGGAAUGGCCCCAGCGUUCGACUGGCUCCCUCGGGCAGACUGAACUUCGAGUCCCUGCUCGAAUCAUCCCGAGCAAGCACAGCUUCAGCAUUCAGUCCACCGCCGGUCCACCAGUGCUCCGGACUGAAUCUUCUCAAAUGACCAUGGACCAUCUCCAGUCAUAGCCAAACGGCUGAAAACUAUUCUAUUGAUCAUCCCACGCUGCGAAAGCCUUAAUCGCCUAAAGUGAUUUGCUCUCCAGGGUCACAUGACGCAGUGCAGCAGUUGACGUGGGACCAGUACCUGUUGAUGCUGUUAGUGAGAUCUCACACUUGACGUCCCAGAAUUCUGAAGUCCUUUUAAAGCCAUGAGAUAAAACCACUUACGGCCCAACGAGUGCCGUGUGAUUUCCUCUGAAUCCCAAGUGCUUGUGAAUGGGACUCAAAUCCCCCGUUGGAAUGUUGGACCCUAUAUACAUUCAGACCUGUGGCUACUGAACAUAGAGGCCUAAACACACUCAAUGGCUAUUGCUACUGAACAAAUGGGUUUUGAUUAUAUUCCAACGGUUCAUGAGAGAAAAACUGUUGUUUUUCAGUGCUGCUUUCUGUACUUUGUGCUCUAAAACAAACGCAACCUUCUACCUGUUUGUUCAAAGAGACCCCUGGUGUUAGACCUCCAAUAACGAUGUACUUUAACCUCAACUCUGAUAUAAAUGCACAAACAAUCCGGCGAAGUCCUGAUACAAAAAGCAAAUGGGUUUCCUUCUCUGUCGAUAGGACGCAUCUCUAUUUAUUCCUCAUCCAGACUCCCUGAUGCAUUUCAGCAAGCUGUCGGAGGCUCACUGCUGAGAGACCGAGCUCAUUUUUUAUAUAUAUAUUACACAAACAGGCAGACCAGCGCUCUGUUGUUUCCAGAAGGAGGAGUGGGGGGGGGGGUGUCCUCUCAGGGAGCACAAAAGGAACCUUUGUUUCUCCUCUAGACAAGAGACGUGGCUGCGCCAACACUUGAAACGCUCCCUGUGUGGACUGCACACCCAACAGAACCCUAAUAAAGCUCCCGGGGUGUUGCAUUGCAUUCAAUCCGCAUUCCACGAGCGUGCGCUUCAGACACACUCGUCCGUGCCCAGAUGACUUGUCUUAGGGAAGACCGACGCUAUGUGCAUGUAGCGCACCUGCUGCAGUAAAUGAUACAUCUUCAGUUCCUGCAGGAGAAGCGUGAUGAUGGUUUUUCGUGGUCUCAGUGAAGGGACAGUUUACGUGAUGGAUCUGAACGCUCCGUCAUGAAUAGAGCCGUGUCAUCACAUCGGCUAAUACAGUGACGACUUGAGUGUGUAAUUGAGAUGUAUUCAUGAGGACUGUGUAAGUGUGCGAUACACAUGAAUCAAGUCACAAAUAGAGCACAAUCUCACACACGCAGACACACACACACACACACACACAGAUCUCUAAUCACCGCCGAGUGACCAGCAGGGCAUCAAAUUUGAGUUAUGUCACACAGAGAGGCUUUCCAAUGAGGACGGAUGUGAUUGCACUUUGGAUCAGAUGGAAAUGUGUAACAUCAGCCAGAUCAGAUCGCAGUACUUGUUUUUACCGGCAAUUUAUUUCUUUAGAAAUUGUUUCAGCGCAAAUAUCAGUAUUUUUCUUGAAAUGUAAUGGUAAUAAUUGGGAAAAUAAUUCAAAGCUACGGUAAUUUGUCAGCUAGGGUGGCAACACCGUGAUUAAAACAUGGUGGGCAGUUCACCAAUGUCUAAAGCUGCUGAAUCAGCAAGUGGAAUUCAGUUUCACAGCACAAUCUAUCUUCCUUCUGCCAUUGAAAGCGAGUUGUCUUCUCAGGCCAGGAAAACAUUUGCAUCUAAGGUUUUAUUUUAUAACUCAUCAAUUCAGCUUUUCAUUUGUAUGAGGAAGAUUGUGUCAUUUCCCCUUUCAGAAGAUAAAUAGUCACGCUUUAAUGGCACCAAACAAAACGGCAACCUUGACUCGCUUCAGUCAGGAAGGAGCACGUGCACUCCAACAUUUUACCUGCAUACGGAUUACAUGCACUUUCUUUUUUUUCCUUUUUCUUUUUUCUAUCUGCCGUCACAGGCUGUCUAUUCCAGCGUUUAAGUAAGAAUGUUUUGCUGUAACUUUUAUGACUCACUGCUGUUGGCCCUUUUUUAAAGUCCAAAUGAACCAGGAGAGGAAGUCUAGUAAGGUGACGGUUCCUCAGAGUGUUAACGGCGCCCAAACAAGUUCCCAGAAAGGAUUGGCUAAGUAGUUUCAUAAAAGCAUCACAGUUGCUACAGGGCGUUAAGGAGCAAACCGUGUAUCCUUAAUGUUAAAUUCAUUAAAAAGUAAAGUGAAGAAAGGCAGCAAGCGCCAAGAAUAAAUGGAGUUACCCAAAACAAGUGACCGUAACAACCAGUUCUAAUCAAGGUGUAACGAGACACUACACAUAUGUUUAAAAUUUCUUGUGAGUCACGCUUGAAUGACACUUAUAAAC